rnacentral:rRNA from 1 species
CAUUAUUUAUAGCCUCUGGCUAUAGGAAAUUGUUAGUGGCAGACGGGUGAGUAAUGCGUAGGAAUCUACCUAGUAGUACGGAAUAGCCAUUAGAAAUGGUGGGUAAUACUGUAUAAUCCCCGAGGGGGAAAGAUUUAUCGCUAUUAGAUGAGCCUACGUUAGAUUAGCUAGUUGGUGAGGUAAUGGCUUACCAAGGCUAUGAUCUAUAGCUGGUCUGAGAGGACGAUCAGCCACACUGGAACUGAGAUACGGUCCAGACUCCUACGGGAGGCAGCAGUGGGGAAUAUUGGACAAUGGGCGAAAGCCUGAUCCAGCUAUGCCGCGUGAGUGAAGAAGGCCUUCGGGUUGUAAAACUCUUUCAAUAGGGAAGAUAAUGACGGUACCUAUAGAAGAAGUCCCGGCAAACUCUGUGCCAGCCG